AUUGAACGCUGGCGGCAGGCCUAACACAUGCAAGUCGAACGAGUGGCGGAAGGGUGAGUAAUGUCUGGGAAACUGCCUGAUGGAGGGGGAUAACUACUGGAAACGGUAGCUAAUACCGCAUACCAUCAGAUGUGCCCAUAUGGGGUUAGCUUGUUGGUGGGGUAACGGCUCACCAAGGCGACCAUCCCUAGCUGGUCUGAGAGGAUGACCAGCCACACUGGAACUGAGUCAUGGUCAAGAGUACUAAGGGGGGCAGCAGUGGGGAAUAUUGCAAAAUGGGCGCAAGCAUGAUGCAGCCAUGCCGAGUGUAUGAAGAAGGCCUUCGGGUUGUAAAGUACUUUCAGCGGGGCGGCGUUACCCGCAGAAGAAGCACCGGCUAACUCCGUGCCAGCAGCCGCGGUAAUAC
rnacentral:rRNA from 1 species